GUCAAUUACCCCAUGCCCUUUAGGGUAUAUGCUUGUGAAAACAAGUCAGUUGAUUAGCCUGAGUCUUAAGCGACUACGUUAUUUUAGCAGGUAUACUAAUAAGUUAAACUUAAUCAUUUCAUUUUUAACCUAGAAUAAUUCACUAGUUCUAGGCCUAAAGUCAAUGGUUAAACAUAUCUAAAGAUAUAAAAAGUACUGUUGAUAUACAAAAUCUAUUAUAACAUUGGCAAAGUGGACUUAUC
rfam:Epulopiscium sp. AS2M-Bin002 AS2M_MBin02_43, whole genome shotgun sequence.